GUUUUUUUUUUUUUUUUUUGCCUUCAUAAAGUACACAGAUAAUAAAGAAUUCAUAAACAAAGAACCAAACAAUUUCAGGUAAUGAUAAAUAUUAUAAAGGAAAAACUCUUAGAUAAAUAAAAAAGAUGUAAGAUCUUUACUUGAGUAACAUCUUACAUGAUGUUACUCCAGCCCUCUUCUCUUCCUAGGUGACUGGGGCUGGUUCCUGGUAUGCUCGGGCUGGUCAAUGUGUUCAAGCCUGCUGAGGCUGUGGAGUAGCCAGGGCUACAAGAGAUUCUCUGCCUAUAUUGAUAGUUGUGCCUAAAAUAGGAACUUCAGAGCUCUCCGUUGGGUCCCAAAUAAUCGGCUUAUAUUUUUUAUGCCUUUUAAUUAGUCUGUUGUUGGUUAACUUAUUGUAGCUGUUGUUCAUCACAAAUAGUUUGAUCACCAUAUCUGGAGUGCUUAAUCCAGGUAGGCAGAGUGUCUUCCAAUAUAUCUUCUGCUCAGACCUGGGUAAAGUGGUCCAAAGGUUUUCAUGUCAAGGUGGAAACAGAGGUUGGGGAGGAGGGACUGUUGGAUCCUUGUAGGAUUUGGGGUUUCCUUAUACCAGAAGUUUCCAUCUGGUUUUAUGGAGCCUGCCUUUUAAAUGGAUGCCAUUUAAGUCCUGAAGGUGGGGGAAUCAAUACACAUCUUCCCUACUACCAUCCAGUUACUCCUUUCAAAUUUAGGAAGGAUAUUGGAGGUAGUCUGACUUUACAGGUGUGGACUGUCCAUCGGUCUAGAUCAGAGGCUGGCUGAUAGGACACUUAUCUUUCUUUCUGUGGCCCUCUCCUAAACUUUUUACAGACUGCACAGUCUUGCCAUGAUCAAGGGUCCCUGAGAGAUUGUAUUUUCCCAAACUCAAUACUUUCUUUCUUCCAAAUACAGUGCAUUGUCAGAGGCAGCAUGUGGAAGCAGAACUUUGGAGUUGGCCAUCCCUGAUGAUUUAAUUUACCUUAGGUAAGUGACUUAAUUCCUGUAAUGCUCAAUUUCCUCAUUUUUGAAAUAGGUAUAUCAUUAUUUCUGACAUCACGGAGCUCUUAUAAGGAAUAAAUCCACUCAAGCAUGUAACUCACUGAGCUCAUGUCUGGCACAGUGUUGGUGUUCAACAAAUGAUGGAUAUUAUCUUUUUUCUGAUUAAAAAAUGAUUCAGUGUACUUUUCCUAAAUGCACUAUGUAAUUUUCAUGACAACGGUAUAUGCGUCUGUUCCUACUGGAAUAAACAAUUGAAAACCAAGUCCUUGAGAAUCUUGAGGAAACAUUUAAAUUUAGGAAACAUGCCUAAGGAAUUUAAAAAGAAAGAUGUAUUUACACUAAUGUUUCUCCUUUUGAUAAUGAGCCUCAUGAGCAAAGAUACCAUAGCUUAUUUAUAUUUGAAUACACUUAAACUUACUCAUAAUACCCACUUUAAAUAUCCUUCAAAGAUUAUACAAGGCAACAAAUAAAUGCACUUUUGUUCUUUAACUGAACUGCAUGCCCUAAAUAGCACGAGUAUUUUCUCAGACAAUUAGAAUUAGUGCAUAUAUUAUAUGCUUUAAAUUUAUUCUUAUUGAGGUAUAAUUAGCAUAUGACAUUAUAUUAGUUUCAGGAACAUAGCAAAGAAUUGAUAUUUGGGUGUACUGCAAAGUGAUCACCACAAUCAGCCUAGUCAACAUUGAUCACUGUAUGUAGUUAAAAAUAUUUUUUUUUCUUUUAUGAGGACUUUUAAGACUUACUCUCUUAGCCAACUUUCAAAUAUGCAAUAUAGCAUUAUUAACUAUAGUCCCCAUGCUGUAAUUUUAUGCCUAUGAUUUAUUCAUUUUAUAAUUGGAAGUUUGAAUCUUUUGACUCUCUUCACCUAUUUCAUGCCCCCCUACUUCACCACCCCCACAACCACAGAUCUGUUCUCAGGAUCUAAAAGCUUAUUUUGGGGAUCCCUGGGUGGCGCAGCGGUUUAGCGCCUGCCUUUGGCCCAGGGCACGAUUCUGGAGACCCGGGAUCGAAUCCCACAUCAGGCUCCCGGUGCAUGGAGCCUGCUUCUCCCUCUGCCUAUGUCUCUGCCUCUCUCUCUCUCUCUCUGUGUGACUAUCAUAAAUAAAUAAAAAUUAAAAAAAAUAAAAUAAAAGCUUAUUUUGUUUGUUUGCUUGUUUAGAUUCCACAUAUAAAUGAAAUUAUAUGGUGCUUGUCUUUCUCUGUCUGACUUAUUUCACUGAGCAUAAUACCCUCAAAGUCCAUCCAUGCCAUUGCAAAUGGCAAGCUUUUGUUCUUCUUUGUGGCUGAAUAAUACUCCUGUCUGUGUGUGUAUGUGUAACCACAGUCUCUUUAUUUUCUUUAUCCCUUCAUCAUCUAUAGUGUAUAUUUUUUUUAUAGUGUAUAUGUUUUAAAACUAUUUUUGGAAAUGUUGAUUGAUCCGUACAAACUCUCAACACAUGCCUUCCCCAAUGCUGGUGAGUUAGGUACUCCAGCUCUCUUUACAAACCAUCUGUUUGUAUGUGCGGUCAUUGACAAACAGAGUGAACAAUUUAGCUAAUUACAAAAUUGGCCUUUACAUGUUUUUAAAUGUUGAUUUUAGAAGAAUCAACUUUCCUCAAAAAACUACUUUAACAGUUUGAUACACUGUAAUUUUAAAAACCCUGCUUGCCUUAUGCCCGAUGUUGUUCUCAAUACACUGCACUAACUAGCACACAAAGAGCACAACUAUAGAAUGAAGCAGAGAAGAGAUGAACAACUCAAGUUUCCUUGUACAAGAAAGAGGGUGAUAAAUCACCAGUGAUGGCCACACAUAAUUAGCAAAAACACAGUCACAGGCAAACCGAGGCUCAGAUGAAAGCGAGGGCCGAACACCUGUGGUUGCACUAAAAAGACAUUUAUGAAGACGAGGAUUUCUGAUGACCCAAAAAACACUUUUGUGCAAAUUUCUGAUGACCCAAAAAACACUUUUGUGCAAAUUAGAAAAGAAAACAUUUAAAUUAUAUUUUUUUCAUAUCGCCAAUAGGCAGGCUCAGGAAGACUUUUCAGAAGUCGAGAGUAGAACACUGGCUAUACAUGCACACGUGUCCAAAAUUUAGCCUUCCCACAAACAGCCUGCUACUACAAGGACACUCAUGCCACUACUCCAGAACACAUUCUGUGUCAUGCCACCCCCGACUCAGUUUGGGAUGACUUUGUCAGAUUCAAUAUAGGAUGAAGGGAAAGAAUCUGGCCUCAGAGACCGGUGGGUAGGUAGGGGAAAACAACCUCAGGAUACAUUUGGAACAUAACUGGGAUAAGGGCACAGCUGAACUUGAAUGGCUGCAAGGUAGCUUUAAGCAGGUAAGGUUUACAUAGAUUUGCUUAUUGUUUCUCUACAACUUGUCCUAAAAGCUCAGAAUCUCCAUGGAGAUGUGAACAGCAUAGCCCUGAGUUAUGCCUUCUUUGUAUAGCACACAACUUGAACACCCAGAUGUGACAGAUAUGCCUGUGAGAAAGCACAAGGCAUUUGCACACUUACAUUUGAUAUCCAGUGCAAAAACUAUGCCAGACACAAAUACAGCAUGGUUUAAAACAAGAAAAAAAAAAGAAAGAAAGAAAGAACAUAAUCCAAGAUUGAUGAAUACACACUUAUGCAUUUGAGAAAUAUGUGCAAUUAUAUGAGAAUAGGUAAUUCUUCUGAAAUUCUUUCAUUUCUAUUUCUGUUUUGGUAUACUUGAUAUAAAUCAGUUAACUGUUUUGUCACAUGUAAUAUUAAAACUAUACAAGGACUUAUAGAUAAUUAAGUUUUAAUUAGUUAACUUCAUAGGUGAAGAACUUAAUGUCCUGAAACAUUAAGGGGCUUGUGAGGACAUAGCACUGAAACAGGAAAGCUGCGAUCACUGAUAUUGUUUUAAAUAUGCAUCUUUAGUAGUCAUUUAAAGAAAAAAUAAAUGUUAAUCAAUUUUAUGCAUGAGUUUAAAUAAUUAUUUUGCUUUUCGCUAGUCAUGCCUUUUGUCUUCCCCUUCACUUUACCUGUCACACUGCUAUUGCUGUGAUCAUUCUAAAGCAGAAAUAACAGAAAUAGGAUCAUGCAAAUCUCCUGCAUGGAAUAUUAAUCAGUUUCUGCUCUGUGUGCUUUGAUAUAUCCAUUUCUUCAAAACAUAUCUAUCAUGUAUAUGAAAAAUUCUGGUUAAACUGUAAUGAAAAUACACAUGAUCUCUGAUCGUAUGGUGUCUCUGGUGAGAGACAUAUACUAUGGCAAAGAAGCAAAACACCAUACAAAUAAUUACAUAAUUAUAAAUGUUGCUUAGUGACUAAAAAAAAAAAAA
rnacentral:lncRNA from 1 species